AACGAACGCUGGCGGCAUGCCUAACACAUGCCAGUCGAACGAGACCUUCGGGUCUAGUGGCGCACGGGUGCGUAACGCGUGGGAACCUGCCCUUAGGUUCGGAAUAACUCCCCGAAAGGGGUGCUAAUACCGGAUAAUGUCUUCGGACCAAAGAUUUAUCGCCUUUGGAUGGGCCCGCGUUGGAUUAGCUAGUUGGUAGGGUAAAAGCCUACCAAGGCGACGAUCCAUAGCUGGUCUGAGAGGAUGAUCAGCCACACUGGGACUGAGACACGGCCCAGACUCCUACGGGAGGCAGCAGUGGGGAAUAUUGGACAAUGGGCGAAAGCCCGAUCCAGCAAUGCCGCGUGAGUGAUGAAGGCCUUAGGGUUGUAAAGCUCUUUUACCCGGGAUGAUAAUGACAGUACCGGGAGAAUAAGCUCCGGCUAACUCCGUG
rnacentral:rRNA from 1 species